GGCGUGCUUAACACAUGCAAGUCGAACGAACCUUCGGGUUAGUGGCGGACGGGUGAGUAACGCGUGGGAAUCUGCCCUCAGGAGGGGGAUAACGGCCGGAAACGGCCGCUAAUACCCCAUAUGCCGAGAGGUGAAAUGAAUUUCGCCUGAGGAUGAGCCCGCGUCUGAUUAGCUAGUUGGUGUGGUAAUGGCGCACCAAGGCGACGAUCAGUAGCUGGUCUGAGAGGAUGAUCAGCCACACUGGGACUGAGACACGGCCCAGACUCCUACGGGAGGCAGCAGUGGGGAAUUUUCCGCAAUGGGCGAAAGCCUGACGGAGCAACGCCGCGUGAGGGAUGAAGGCCUCUGGGCUGUAAACCUCUUUUCUCAAGGAAGAAGACAUGACGGUACUUGAGGAAUAAGCCACGGCUAAUUCCGUGCCAGCAGCCGCGGUAAUACGGGAGUGGCAAGCGUUAUCCGGAAUUAUUGGGCGUAAAGCGUCCGCAGGCGGCCUUGUAAGUCUGUCGUUAAAGCGUGGAGCUUAACUCCAUUUCAGCGAUGGAAACUACAAGGCUUGAGUGUGGUAGGGGCAGAGGGAAUUCCCGGUGUAGCGGUGAAAUGCGUAGAUAUCGGGAAGAACACCAGUGGCGAAGGCGCUCUGCUGGGCCAUAACUGACGCUCAUGGACGAAAGCCAGGGGAGCGAAAGGGAUUAGAUACCCCUGUAGUCCUGGCCGUAAACGAUGAACACUAGGUGUCGGGGGAAUCGACCCCCUCGGUGUCGUAGCUAACGCGUUAAGUGUUCCGCCUGGGGAGUACGCACGCAAGUGUGAAACUCAAAGGAAUUGACGGGGGCCCGCACAAGCGGUGGAGUAUGUGGUUUAAUUCGAUGCAACGCGAAGAACCUUACCAGGGUUUGACAUCCUGCGAAUCCCUUGGAAACGAGGGAGUGCCUUCGGGAGCGCAGAGACAGGUGGUGCAUGGCUGUCGUCAGCUCGUGUCGUGAGAUGUUGGGUUAAGUCCCGCAACGAGCGCAACCCACGUCUUUAGUUGCCAGCAUUCAGUUGGGCACUCUAGAGAGACCGCCGGUGAUAAACCGGAGGAAGGUGUGGAUGACGUCAAGUCAUCAUGCCCCUUACAUCCUGGGCUACACACGUACUACAAUGCUACGGACAAAGGGUUGCAAGCUCGCGAGAGUUAGCUAAUCCCAUAAACCGUGGCUCAGUUCAGAUCGUAGGCUGCAACUCGCCUACGUGAAGGAGGAAUCGCUAGUAAUCGCAGGUCAGCAUACUGCGGUGAAUACGUUCCCGGGCCUUGUACACACCGCCCGUCACACCAUGGAAGUUGGCCAUGCCCGAAGUCGUUACUCCAACCCUUGUGGAGGAGGACGCCGAAGGUGGGGCUGAUGACUGGGGUGAAGUCGUAACAAGGUAGCCGUACCGGAAGGUGCGGCUGGAUCACCUCCU
rnacentral:rRNA from 1 species